rnacentral:misc_RNA from 1 species
AAGUCGUAACAAGGUUUCCGUAGGUGAACCUGCGGAAGGAUCAUUAAGGAACAGAGUGGUACCGUGCGUGCUGGUCGAUUGACUAUGCCGUGCGCGUUCACUUUAUUUCCAUGCGUACGGUUUAUUUGGGGCAUUGCCCAUGUCGCUUGCCUAUUUUAGGGAACGGCGUGGACGGUGCACUAUCUAACCAAACACCAAUCAUUCUACAAGACUGAAGGGGAUAACCAUAACCAAAAUACAACUUUUAACAAUGGAUCUCUAGGCUCUU